CUUAUUAAAUGAUUUCUUCAUGCCAGGACCCUUGUGAAAGGAAAUAGGACUGCUUCUGAUUAUGUGGAUAUCUGAAUAACCAUAAGGAUCCCAAGGAAUGAUACGACUUUGAAAUCUUAAAAAAUGGAUGAUUAUAGAAAAUGGAAGAGAAGACUAAAGGAAGGGAUUGAACAUAGACAUAACAAAUUGAGAACUCAGUCUAGUGGAGGAGGGGAUGCAGUGAAGAGCAUUCACAGGGGGUAAAAUAUGUAUUUCACCAAUAAUGAAACAUACAACACCACUCUGAAAACAUGAAAGGCUUUGUGGGAGCUUCAAACAAAAGGAAAGUAUAAAGUCAACUUAUCAUUAAAAUGCCUUUCUUUCUCUUGGUCCUUGCAUACAUUACUUGAAAAUCUCACUGAGGUUGUAAUGGCGGUCCCUUUUAUUUUUCAAGGAAAUAUGUGUUUUUAUCCCACAAUCAAUUUACUACCAUCCUUGAUUUUUCUGUGACAUCCCAGCAACCAUUGUAAUUUCUCCCUCACUGUGAACCAGCUGUCCAUAAUUGCAUCCAAUAGUGGGUGAACCAAAAAUCUCUCUACAGAUUCCAGAGACUGCCUAAGGGAACAACAGUAGAAAAUAAUUAAAGCAUGAUUUAAAAAUAGUUUUCUGGAACGUUUUCCCUUGAUUAACUUUGAGCACGUUUUGAGGGUAAGAGAUUUCUUGGUUCUCUAUCAGCUGCUUUCCCUGUCAGUUCUUCUGUAUAGUACUGAAUAACCACUAGUCUGUUUAUUUUCUGUGUUCUAGGUAAAAGUUUAUCCUUUUAAAACUUAGUUAAUUUAAUGCCUUGAAGAUUGUUGAAAUUCUUGCUGGUAGCAAAGUAUAAAAUUCAAACGUGUCUUUAUGCCUUACAUAAUGUCUGUUUGGCUACUUAAGUAAUU
rnacentral:lncRNA from 1 species